GGCGGGUCUCCCCGCAUCGUGAGGUGGUGAACCUGGUCAGGUCCGGAAGGAAGCAGCCACAGCCAUUUAUCGCGAGUGCCGGGGUAAGGCUCGCCAUC
rnacentral:SRP_RNA from 1 species